CACCACAAACCACAGUAGAAAUCGCCCUAGUUUUCUCGGAAGAGCUGGUACGAUUUGGGAAGUGAGCAGGCAGGGGGCAGAGGGUGAGCAACAUGAAUUUGACGGGGAUGGAACGGAAGCAUAGUUAUGUCUAGCACAUAGGGAAGGAGUAUUGGGAUUAGGAGAUUUACUCUGAUCCUACAUAAAUAUUGUUCAAAUAAAUGACAAGGAUGCAUCGUACAUCUGUCCAUGCAUGCUCUAGUAGAAAUGGCUAGCUUGCUAACUAGCCUGGUGCUAUACUUGUAAGCUAUAUUGUACUACUCCCUCCAUCCCAUGAAACUUGUCUCAACUUUGUCUAAAUUUGGAUGCACCUAGACACUAUUUAGCAUCUAGAUACAUCUAAAUUUUGACAAAGUUGAGACAAGUUUCAUAGGACGGAGGGAGUACUAUUACUACUACUAAGGAAUAAAUGGAACCUGGUUCUUCUUG